UUCUGUGCUCACAAAUCUUUUAAAAUUGGAAUGAUACAGAGGUUAGCAAGGUUAGCAUGGCUCCUGCUGAAGGAUGUUAUGCAAAUUCAUAAAGUAUUCCAUAUAUAU